AGUGCAACCAAAGCAGGUGAUUGAGCCCCAGGGGCUGAUCCUAAGAACAUCUGGGCAGCUUGCCAUCCUGUUGCUCUAAAAUGAAAAUCAUGUGAAAGGUUUGAAAGGCUUCCGUUUAUGGUAAUUUAGUCGUUAACCUGCAUGGGGACACAGGCUGUGACGCAGGUGACGCCUUUGGCCCGCUCUGUCCCUGAUUUCCCAGGCAGAGGGCCCAGGAGGCCAGGCCAGAACACUCGACUCACCCAGAAGGAUCUUUCCUUGACCACUUCUGGCCCUCACAACUACCCCCGGGAGCUGGAGCAGGAAAGAGGACAGGAGAGCAGGCAGCUGCUGUGUGGCCAGGGAAUUAUGUUGAGUUUUGGCAAGAGACCAGGGUGACUGGCAGUUCUGGAGGAUAGGAAGUUCAGGACGCGG